UCGUCGCGCGGGUCGCGGCGGCUGUGGAGCGGCGGCGGCGUGCGGCGGCUUCACGCCCUUCGAUUUUGGUGACUCUGGAUAACUGUCAGUACGAUCGCACGGGCUAGUAUCGCACUAGCCUUCGCGCGACGGGUCCCCCGCGAGUCCGCCCUAUCAACUGUCGACGGCCCGGUCAGUGCUGACCGUGGUGGCAACGGGUAACGGGGAAUCAGGGUUC